GGAAGGAUCAUUAUCGAAACUCGAGGUGCUCGCGCGCCGAGAGCUGUACGCUGGACCCUGACACGAAACGACCGUGCCUGCGAGUCGAGGGGUGAUGCCUGAGACCCAGCUCGGUCGGGCCGGUGGAGGCGAAGCAUCAUUGCGCCGUCAUCGGUUGUAUUCUGGUGUUGUAUUCUGGUUUGGCGGACAUGGGGGUGCCGUGACGUCGGCUUAAUGAAACGCACUGCAUCGUGGCGUUUGCCCCUGUGUCCCGCCGACGCCUCGGUCGUCGGUGGUGACAACGGGUACCUAUCUCGCGGCUGCUUCAUGCGCGAGGAAUGCUUAGGCCAGGCUAGGUGGUAAAUGAGUCGCUUUGGCGACCGCCUGUUCGAUGUCGCGCCCUAACGCUAAGGGAACGGUGGAGAUACGACGAGCUACAUGCUCGGAUACGAAAAAAUGAACCACUCUAAACGGUGAAUCACUCGGCUCGUGUGUCGAUGAAGAGCGCAGCCAGCUGCGUUAAGUAAUGUGAAUUGCAGGACACAUUGAACAUCGAUAUCUUGAACGCAUAUUGCGGCCUCGGGUAAUCCCGAGGCCACGCCUGUCUCAGGGUCGGUUGAACGUUAAUCGCGAGAAGCUUUUUGCUCGCGCACUGAACGUCGUAAGCGUGCAAAGCGCAGAUGCUGCAACGCCUCGCAGCCCUGCGGACGGUACGUCGUUUGAAUGAUAGACGGUUUACGGCGACUCUAAUGCGUUGUAGUUCGUCGAGACGGUAGCUCGACUGCAUCUGAGCGAUCUAUUGACGACUCGCGCACAAACAGUUGUCUCCAGUACGAUGUCCCCGUGAUGUCGUAUUCUGAGUUCGAUUAUUUCGACCUGAGAUCAGACGAGAUUACCCGCUGAAUUUAAGCAUAUUAAUAAGCGGAGGAAAAGAAACUAACAAGGAUUCCCUUAGUAACGGCGAGUGAAGCGGGAAGAGCCCAGCACCGAAUCCUCCGUCACCUAGGCGCAGGAACUGUGGUGUUCGGGACAGCCCAUGCGGAUCGGUUGGCCGUCCGAGUCCUCCUGAUCGGGGCUUCACCCAGAGCGGGUGUCAGGCCUCUACGGCAGCCGACCGGUUCUCUAGGGUCGUCCUAGGAGUCGGGUUGUUUGAGAUUGCAGCCCUAAGCGGGUCGUAAACUCGACCUAAGGCUAAAUACAGACACGAGUCCGAUAGCGCACAAGUACCGUGAGGGAAAGUUGAAAAGAACUUUGAAGAGAGAGUUCAAUAGUACGUGAAACCGUUUAGAGGCAAACGGAGGGUACCGCAAAGUCCACUUGUCGGAUUCAACUUGUUGGCGGUUCGGCGGCGUUUUUGCGAACAUGCUUCGUGGCAGUUCCGGAGCGUCGCUUCGUUCCGCGACGGGCGCACUUUCGGCAAGUGGAGCGCCACGACCGGUUCGUUGGCGGUCAGAAGCAUCUGGGGAAGGUGGCCAGCACUUCGGUGUUGGUGUUAUAGACCCGGUUAGCAUUGGCCCGUUGGCGGACCGAGGAUGACUUAUGCGCGGUCGCCGUGCGACCUCGUCCGUGUUCGAUCGUUCGACCUGAGGGGACUGUCGCCAGUGUCCUCUAACCGCGGUUGUUCACUGGGCGGGUGUUCGUUCGGUGCACUUGGCGUCGGUGGCGAAUCGGUCGGUCCACUGUCCGACCCGUCUUGAAACACGGACCAAGGAGUCUAACAUGUGCGCGAGUCGCUGGGCAGUUACGAAACCCGUAGGCGUAAUGAAAGUGAAGGCCUUCCGCUAGGUUGGCUCAGGUAGGAUCCGGGCGGCGGAAACGCUGCCCGGCGCACUACCGGCUCGUCUCGACCGCCGCGUCGGUGAGGCGACGCUAAAGCGUACACGUUGGGACCCGAAAGAUGGUGAACUAUGCCCGAGUAGGACGAAGCCAGAGGAAACUCUGGUGGAGGUCCGCAGCGAUUCUGACGUGCAAAUCGAUCGUCAAACUUGGGUAUAGGGGCGAAAGACUAAUCGAACCAUCUAGUAGCUGGUUCCUGU
rnacentral:misc_RNA from 1 species